GGGGACGUAGUUCAGUUGGUUCAGAACGUCAGAUUGUCGAUCUGAAGGUCGCGGGUUCGAGCCCCGUCGUCCCCGCCA
rnacentral:tRNA from 1 species